rnacentral:lncRNA from 1 species
UGAAGGUUGAAGGUACUUGUGAUAUAUCCAUGAACUGUGUCUACACUUAAAUUAUAGAAAACGUGUUAUUGUUAAUUAAAUCUGAAAGAGGAACUCCAAAAAAUCAUCAACUAUGAAAGAAAGCUUCAAGAGAUGAAAGAAUGACAUCAACGUAAUUAUCACUCUCUCUUUUCAAGGAGCUGCUUAUCCACCAGGAAGAAGAUAGAUGAGAAUGGAAAACACAGUGAAAACAGCAUGCUGAGAUUUUGUUUUUUCCAAAGCAAGUAGAAGCAGCUGGUUGUUUGUCUGCUGAGACAGAACCUAUGGAACUUAUGGGAGAAGAGAAAUGUCAAUAAAAUCAGUCACUUCUUGAAGACCCAGGUUGAUAUUUUCUUUUGCAAAAUAAGGACUCUAGAGGCUCUCAGAGACUGUUUCUUACCAUCAAGCAUUUCCUUUUUCCUUAGCUCCUGUCCCACUGGAAAGAAAAAAUUCAAUUUAAUUUCCUUCUAUCAGAUAGAACACUUGGAAAGACACUCAAGCAUUUACUAAUUUAUUCUUGACUACGUUAGUUUUAAUCCUAAAAGCUCCUAACUGAAAUUCUUCUAGAGAAUGUAUUAUUAUAACAAUACCUUAACAUACCUGAUGCAUAAUAUGCCAAACAUCACAUACCUGCAAAAUGCCAAUACUCUUGUUUUGAAAACAAAUGAGAACAUAGUUGGCCUGUUAGAGAAUGCUUAUCUCCAAGCAAUUUUCCUUAGUUAUCUUCGAAUUCUCAUCUUUCCGAUGUCUCAUGGUGUGCUACUUCUCUUUUAUUUUGUAUAGUUGACUUCUAAAAGUCAAAUCACCUCUACGGCCACAGCUGACAAUACACAAACUUCUUGUUUCUGGAGAUCCUCAGCUGCCGUGUGAUUGUUUCAUUUUAAUACGAGAUAUGAGACAUAAAAUUAAGCAAACAAAAUCUCAUUUAAAAGAAAACUAGGAAGAAUAAAAAUGAAAUCGAUCAUACAUUAUUUAUUUAAUGGUAAUAAGCAUUAGGUAAUAACCUAUUAUUUAGGAACACGUUCCUUUUUUAUUUUCUAUAGCCUUUUAAUCAAUAAUGAAAACAUUUAUGGAAUAACUUGAAAAAUUAACUAAUAUUGAUUUGUUUCCAUACUCUACAGAACAUGAAUCUGAACUCUCUUCUGCUAUAUGAAUCAUUAAUCUCUUCCCUAAUUUUCCUUACAGAUAUUAGUAAAAAUAAUAAUAAUAAUAAAAAUAACAGUACUGUAUUAUCUUGCAGUUGAAUAUUUUUGUAUUCUAGUGUUCCAAUAUCCUAUUAAUUCAUACAGGAGAUCCAUAAAAAGAGAUAUGCACAGUAUGAUUACUAAUUAUAUAUUUUCUGUUAUCAUUACAUAUUUGGAAGCAGACAUGAUCAAAGUAUGUAAGAUGAUCCAUUGUUUUGGCACAGAAAUUUGGGGCUUGUAAAAGUAGAUUAUCAGAAUUGUCCAUUCUUCAUUCUCUCUACAAUCCAUUUUACUCUCUUUCACAGACAAUAAACAUUGUGUAUGUACCCCAUCAAACUCAAUGCUCUCUCCUUUCUUUUAAUGAAAUGUAGUCACAUUUAAACUAGCUUGAAGGUGGCCUACCUCUUGAUUGAAUCCAAGGCAAUUUAACUUUACAGAGUAAUUUCACACUUUCCAUUACCAGAACGUAAGUAGCUGUUAAGUCAAAAAGGUGGAUCAGAAAUCAUACCUUCCA